rnacentral:rRNA from 1 species
AGCGAACGCUGGCGGCAGGCCUAACACAUGCAAGUCGAACGAACCCUUCGGGGUUAGUGGCGGACGGGUGAGUAACACGUGGGAACGUGCCUUUAGGUUCGGAAUAACUCAGGGAAACUUGUGCUAAUACCGAAUGUGCAAUUCGGGGGAAAGAUUUAUCGCCUUUAGAGCGGCCCGCGUCUGCUUAGCUAGUUGGUGAGGUAAUGGCUCACCAAGGCGACGAUCAGUAGCUGGUCUGAGAGGAUGACCAGCCACAUUGGGACUGAGACACGGCCCAAACGCCUACGUGAGGCAGCAGUGGGGAAUCUUGCGCAAUGGGCGAAAGCCUGACGCAGCCAUGCCGCGUGGAUUAUGAAGGUCUUAGGAUUGUAAAAUCCUUUCACCGGUGAAGAUAAUGACUGUAGCCGGAGAAGAAGCCCCGGCUAACUUCGUGCCAGCAGCCGCAGUAACAC